AGGACGAACGCUGGCGGCGUGCUUAACACAUGCAAGUCGAGCGGAAAGGCCCUUCGGGGUACUCGAGCGGCGAACGGGUGAGUAACACGUGAGUAAUCUGCCCCUAGCUCUGGGAUAGCUCCGGGAAACCGGGAUUAAUACCAGAUACGACCACUUUAGACAUCUUCUGUGGUGGAAAGAACUUCGGCUAGGGAUGAACUCGCGGCCUAUCAGCUUGUUGGUGAGGUAACGGCUCACCAAGGCGACGACGGGUAGCCGGCCUGAGAGGGCGACCGGCCACACUGGGACUGAGACACGGCCCAGACUCCUACGGGAGGCAGCAGUGGGGAAUAUUGCGCAAUGGGCGAAAGCCUGACGCAGCGACGCCGCGUGGGGGAUGAAGGCCUUCGGGUUGUAACCCCUUUCAGCAGGGACGAAGCGAAAGUGACGGUACCUGCAGAAGAGCGCCGGCUAACUACGCGCCAGCAGCCGC
rnacentral:rRNA from 1 species